AGCAACAGCAAGAGCCUACGAGCUUUGUACCCGAGACCCAAAAGACGACAGCACUCAACAAACAACAAGAGCCGACUUUCAUCCCAGAGACUCAAAACGGCUACGGGUUGUACGGCCAAAAGAAUAAUGAUCAGUUCCCCACCACAACCUCUGCUGCUGACGUCAAAUACGAGCCUUACACCACCCCCAUCACUAGCACCCCCACCGGAACCUUCGAACCUUACACUACUCCGACCACCUCCGCCGCCGUGCAAUACGAACCCUACACAACCCCCAUUACCAGCACCCCCACCGGAACUUUUGAACCCUACAAAACUCCCACCACCAGCUACAACAACCCUAACAAGUACAACUUCAAUAACAACAGAUACUAUUACAACAACAACGGUUUUCAGACAGAGCAAGAGAGGUUGGGUGACUCGAAAUUCCAAGAAAGUGGCUACAGAAGCAACCAGAACAGUUACAACAACAAUAAUGCUGAGAAGAAAGGGAUGAGUGACACGAGGUUUUUGGAGAAUGGCAAGUA
rnacentral:lncRNA from 1 species